rnacentral:rRNA from 1 species
UACGGGGGGGGCAAGCGUUGUUCGGAAUUACUGGGCGUAAAGGGCGCGUAGGUGGCCAACUAAGUCAGACGUGAAAUCCCUCGGCUUAACCGGGGAACUGCGUCUGAUACUGGAUGGCUUGAGUUUGGGAGAGGGACGCGGAAUUCCAGGUGUAGCGGUGAAAUGCGUAGAUAUCUGGAGGAACACCGAUGGCGAAGGCGGCGUCCUGGACCAAUACUGACACUGAAACGCGAAAGCCAGGGGAGCAAACGGG